AUAAGAAUGUUGACUCUUAAUGUCCAAGGUAUGAAUACAACAAUAAAGAGGUCUUUAGUAUAUAAAUAUUUAGCUGCAGAACAUAUAGACUUGGGAUUUCUACAAGAAACCCAUUGGAGGCAAUCGGACAAACAGACUUGGGGUGGAAAAAAAUUCCCGCUUAUUAUACAAGCCUCAAAUAAAGAUAAAAAAAAAUGUGGAGUAGCCAUAAUAUUUGGUGAAAAAAUAGAGGUAGAAAUAAUUCAACAAUUACAAGAUGCAGAUGGCAGAUUUUUGGCAAUAGUAUGUAAAAUUAAUUCCAAUUUAUUUACACUCUGUAAUGUCUACCUCCCAAAUUACUCACCAGCUUCCUAUUUAAGAUCUAUUCUAGAAAAAAUAGAAGAAAUAAAAGUAGGAAAUGUAAUACUAGCUGGAGACUUCAAUGCAGUUAUAGAUCCACAAAUAGACAAGAAAAUAAUGAAAGGUGUUAAAAUAAACAAAAAUGG